rnacentral:sRNA from 1 species
UUAAAAGGCCGAGAGACUGAAGUCCCCCACUUUCUCAUGGAACAGGUAGAACCUGGACAACAGCAGUUCAGCUUUACUCCACACCACCCUGCCAAUGUGCUCCGACCUGGGGGGGCCCCCGUCGCUGGGGUGAGAGGGUAGCUCAUUCAUUGAGCCCCUGGCCAUUCUUCUGAAACU